CGGCCGCGGUAUCCUGACCGUGCAAAGGUAGCAUAAUCAUUUGCCUUUUAAUUGGAGGCUAGUAUGAAUGGGUAGACGUAGAUUUAGCUGUUUCUUUACUAUAAAUAAAACUUAAACUUUAGGUGAAGAUACCUAAUUUUUAUAGAAAGACAAGAAGACCCUAUAGAGUUUUAGUUAAAUAUAUCCCUCUAUAAUAUUAUAACUUUGGUUGGGGCGACCUAGGAUUUUAUUAAACAUCCUAUUUAUUAUAAGAUAAAUUUAAUCUCAUUUAUAGACCCUAAAACGGAUUAUCAGAAUUAACUACCUUAGGGAUAACAGGCUUAUCUUCCUAGAGAGCUCUUAUUGAUAGGAUGGUUUGGCACCUCGAUGUUGGCUUAGA
rnacentral:rRNA from 1 species